rnacentral:lncRNA from 1 species
CCUCAGUCAUGCUAGUCAGGUUUCAAAUGCUCAAUGCCACAUGUGGCUAGUGCCUACUGGACUGGACAGUGAAGCUGGAGGGCAUUCUUAACACAGCAUAAAGUGCUGGUGGACAGUGCUUCCAUGGAGCAAACUCAGAGCUCAUCGGUGAAGAAUUAACUCAUUGAAAAUCAGGUGUAACUGAUGAGGAAUGGGGAAGGGGCCUCUCUUUCCUUUUUAUUUCUGUCAUGUUGUGUUAAAAUGCCCCUGCAUGUGUUUCAGGAAGGAAAUCUGUUUCCUACAGGUCCUUUGCUUUCUGUCGGGGGCAGCCGCAUGGGUCCACCCUACUGUAGGAGCUGACUGAGGGCAUGCCAGCAGCAGUCGUGGUGAAAAGCCAAGCAGAAAGUGAUGCAUUCUUCAUGCUGCUUUAGGAAGAUGGCAGUCAAAGAAGAGUCUGAACCAAAGCAGUGCCAUCUCUGGAUGGGCAAAGCUUCUGCAGCAACGGUUUACAGAUGCCCCAGCAGGAGCACUAGAAAGGGAGCCAAUCGCAUUACUGAGAGAGCUGGGGCCAGAGAGCUGGGACCUGAGAGCAGGACUGUGCUGGUGCUGCGUGACGGCACAUUUCUGCUGACGGCCCUGAACUUUCAGACAGAUGCUCUGUGAAUCAGGCGAGAGGGAAUCUUUAAUUAACGCCUUAAGACUGGGAAUGGAAACAAAGAACAGGAAGGUUGUAAGAUGGAUCUGGCUGUCAAAACAAAAUGAAACAAAAAUCCCAACAUGCUCUGCCCCAGCAAGCAUCACUCUGUCCUACACUGGGCUCUCGCCCGCUCUCAUGCAGAAAUAAGGGCCUGGAACUGGAGACCACAGAGGACAAUUUAAUAUGGAAGAAAGCAAUGAAACAACUUUCCACAGAAAUUCUCUACCCAGAGCACCCUAGUGCCUCAUUCCUGCCUCUAUCAUUAGAGCUGCUUUCAAAUCCCCCAUGAUCUUAAAGUCCCUUGGAAGGGCUUGAAAGCUUCUCAGGUAAUUAUGGCCUUGUGAGAAACAAUCAAGCUGGAAAAAAGGUAUUUCUAAAAGAAUCCCUAAAGUAAACCCCCGCCAUUGUAUCUGUUCUUUAGAGCUAUAAGAGAAAUUCAUGUUACACUUUAGGGAAACCUCUUUGGUAAAAUAGCUUGAAUGUCACAGCCCAAGGCUAGAAUUCUUUCUUUAGGAAAUAAUAUAUUUCAGAAUCAGAAUAUGACUUUGAACACAGCCUGGUAAAUCGUUUUGUACAACAGAGAAAUGUUAGCACCUGAGUUCAAGGACAGCUGAGACUUUAGUGCUUUUUUUGUACAUCCUUCCUUGUUCAGAUUGCUUGCUGCCCUUCUUUCUGAUACACUGUGUUCUAUUCCUCUUCUGAAAACUCAUCUAAAACUUGAUUGUUUAAAGCAAAUAUGUAUUGAACACUUACUAUCUGCAAGGUAUUGUCCUAGUUGCUGCAGAUACAGACAUAACUUUAAAAAGCAAAAUCCCUGUCUUCAUAAUAGAAAAUUUGCUAUUUUAAUUUCUCAAAACCCAAUUGCUCCAUUAAAGGUGCACAUUUACACAAAAAGAAUAUGCACUUGGCUCUGUCUUACUUCUCUGCUCCUUCCAGGUAUGCUGUCCCGUGUGCCCCUGACUGUCCAUUCCCUGCGGUGCAGAGACUGCAGCCUCUUUUGAUUUCUCUCAGUGUCAAAUACAAAGCCCUGCUCACCACAGCUACUCAAAAUCCAGGCAUUCAGAUAUUAUCUAAUCUCCCUAAAUGGCAUUUUUGUGACACACAGAGUGAGUGCUGUUGUCUUGCUAUUUUAUAUGCUUGAAACUUGAGUCGGCGUUCUUAAAUUGAUUGGCCAAGAAAACAAAGUGGUCAAGCUGAGACAAGAUCAUGAAUCUUUGGUUUUCCAUUCAAAUUACAGAGCUAAAGAAAAAAAGAAAUGGAGAUUUUCCUUCCAAGCUUACAAAAACUGCUUUAACUAAGUAUGAUUUUAUAAGAUCCCAAGCCAAUUGAAAUAUUGUCAUUUGUAAUAAUAAAACCUAUAUAUGAUUAGCA